CCCUUAGAUGUCCCGGGCCGCACGCGCGCUACACUGAUGCAUUCAACGAGUUUCUUCCUGGUCCGAGAGGAAUGGGUAACCUUUUGAAAGUGCAUCGUGAUAGGGAUAGACUAUUGCAAUUAUUGGUCUUCAACGAGGAAUUCCUAGUAGACGUAGUUCAUCAGACUGCAUCGAUUACGUCCCUGCCCUUUGUACACACCGCCCGUCGCUCCUACCGAUUGAAUGCUCAGGUGAGCCAUUCGGACUUUCAUCAUGCUGGUUUCCAGUUUUGAUGAAGGAAAGUCUUGCGAACCUUAUCAUUUAGAGGAAGGAGAAGUCGUAACA
rnacentral:rRNA from 1 species